GACGGUGUGGUGUAGUGGUUCGGGUGUUGAACUGAGACUCUGGAGAUCAGGGUUCGAUUCCCCGCUCAAGCA